AUUGAACGCUGGCGGCAGGCCUAACACAUGCAAGUCGAGCGAGUGGCGGACGGGUGAGUAAUGUCUGGGAAACUGCCCGAUGGAGGGGGAUAACUACUGGAAACGGUAGCUAAUACCGCAUACUAUCGGAUGUACCCAGAUGGGAUUAGCUAGUAGGUGGGGGAAAGGCUAACCUAGGCGACGAUCCCUAGCUGGUCUGAGAGGAUGAUCAGCCAACAUGGAACUGAGACACGGUCCAGACUCCUACGGGAGGCAGCAGUGGGGAAUAGUGCACAAUGGGCGCAAGCCUGAUGCAGCCAUGCCGCGUGUAUGAAGAAGGCCUUCGGGUUGUAAAGUACUUUCAGCGGGGAGGCGUUACCCGCAGAAGAAGCACCGGCUAACUCCGUGCCAGCAGCCGCGGUAAUUC
rnacentral:rRNA from 1 species